rnacentral:rRNA from 1 species
GACGAACGCUGGCGGCGUGCUUAACACAUGCAAGUCGAACGGAAAGGCCCUGCUUUUGUGGGGUGCUCGAGUGGCGAACGGGUGAGUAACACGUGAGUAACCUGCCCUUGACUUUGGGAUAACUUCAGGAAACUGGGGCUAAUACCGGAUAGGAGCUCCUGCUGCAUGGUGGGGGUUGGAAAGUUUCGGCGGUUGGGGAUGGACUCGCGGCUUAUCAGCUUGUUGGUGGGGUAGUGGCUUACCAAGGCUUUGACGGGUAGCCGGCCUGAGAGGGUGACCGGCCACAUUGGGCCUGAGAUACGGCCCAGACUCCUACGGGAGGCAGCAGUGGGGAAUAUUGCACAAUGGGCGGAAGCCUGAUGCAGCAACGCCGCGUGCGGGAUGACGGCCUUCGUGUUGUAAACCGCUUUCGCCUGUGACGAAGCGUGAGUGACGGUAAUGGGUAAAGAAGCACCGGCUAACUACGUG